GCGUUGUCCGGAAUCAUUGGGCGUAAAGAGCGUGUAGGUGGCUCGGUAAGUCCGCUGUGAAAGUCCAGGGCUCAACCCUGGAAUGCCGGUGGAAACUGUCGGGCUAGAGUCCGGAAGAGGCGAGUGGAAUUCCUGGUGUAGCGGUGAAAUGCGCAGAUAUCAGGAGGAACACCAAUGGCGAAGGCAGCUCGCUGGGACGGUACUGACACUGAGACGCGAAAGCGUG
rnacentral:rRNA from 1 species